rnacentral:misc_RNA from 1 species
UGAUACGCAUUCCCCUCAGAGC